CUUCAUCCGAGCAAAGAAAGAAGCUUCCAGAAUUGUGGAUUUUCGCCGUUUCUUUCCGGUUCUCUCUCUUCCGAGGGCGUCUUCCCCUGCAACUACAAAGUUAUUAGGGUUUCUUCGUCCCUCAAGAAUUAGGGCUUACUGCAACUUUAGGGUUCCAUUCCCCCCAAUUUCCAAAGAGAGAAUCUAGGGAAGAAAAGGAAGAAGAAGCAAGAUACGACAACAUAUAAUCCAUGGCGGAGCACUUGGCUUCGAUCUUCGGCACCGAGAAGGACCGCGUCAACUGCCCCUUCUACUUCAAGAUCGGCGCGUGCCGCCACGGCGACCGGUGCUCCCGCCUCCAUAACCGACCGACGAUCUCGCCGACGCUGCUUCUCUCCAACAUGUACCAGAGGCCGGACAUGAUCACCCCCGGAGUGGACGCCCAGGGCCAGCCGAUCGACCCGCACAAGAUCCAGGAGCACUUCGAGGACUUCUACGAGGACAUCUUCGAGGAGCUCUGCAAGUUCGGCGAGAUCGAGAGCCUCAACGUUUGCGACAACCUCGCGGACCACAUGAUCGGCAACGUCUACGUCCAGUUCAAGGAGGAGGACCACGCCGCCGCCGCCUUGCAGGCUCUCCAGGGCCGGUUCUACAACGGUCGCCCGAUCAUAGCCGAUUUCUCCCCUGUCACCGACUUCCGCGAGGCCACCUGCCGCCAGUUCGAGGAGAACAACUGCAACCGAGGCGGAUACUGCAAUUUCAUGCACGUCAAGCUGAUCGGGAGGGAUCUGCGGCGGAAGCUCUUUGGGAGGUACCGCGGCUACAGGGUGAGCCGCAGCCGGAGCAGGAGCUUGAGCCCGCCGCGUCAUCACCGGAGGGAUAACGAUCGGCGUGAAAGGGAUUAUCGGGACCGUGAUCAUCGCGGUAGCAGGGACAGAUACGAUAGGUACGACCGAGAAAGAGACAGAGACAAUGGGAGAAGACGACAUGGCAGUCCAAGGCGGAGCAGAAGUCCUUCAGCCAGGGAAGGGAGCGAGGAACGCCGUGCCAGGAUUGAGCAAUGGAAUCGAGAAAGAGAGGAAAAGCAGUGAAGCUGACCCUUUACUGGCGUUCUUCUUUCUAUAUUGGGUGCGCCGAAACGGUUUAGCUGAAAACAAAGCCGGUCAGACCAUGGGAUAAGAAGUCCAAUUAGUGUUUCAAGUGUGCGUCCUUGUCUUUAUUUUUCGGUAACUUGUAUGCAAAUCUGAAGAGGAAAAAGAAAAAGUGGAGUUAGAUUAUUGGUUUAACUUGAAGCUAAGUUUUGGUUGGUUGUUUCGCAGUUCUAGUGGAAUUAUUUAGGUUUUCUUUGCCGGAAUAGUGGAAUUGUUUAGGUUGGGACUCCUAUCAGAUACACCAUCUUCGUCAUUGUCCCUUUGCAGUGUUGCUGCCUGCUAGAUAUAAUGAGUCAUCCUUGUUAGAAGGCUAGGACUAGUACUGGUUCCGUGGUUCGUAUGGGUGAAAGGCUCUCAAAGCUGGUCCAAGAAAAUACAUGUGAAAUUUCUCUCUCAUCGUGUAUCCUUCCCAACUAAUUAUUGCUAUUCUUCUCCUUCGACCUUGUGGUAGUAAAUCCCUCUAUGAAAUAGGUGGUUUAAACGCGACUAUAGCAGGCGGAAAACCACAUGGUGUUACUUAAGUAAAUUGAAGGAGUGCGCAAGAACUAAUAAGAAGUUGAUUUUAAAGUGAUUGUAACUAAAAUAGGAGACUUUUAUGAUAAGGCUUGAAAAUUGUACCAGUGGGUUUUUGUUUUUUAGCAAUAAAAACUGGAUCAUAAACCUUCUGUUUUACAUAAAUGUAUUGAUAGGUGGUAUAAAAAUUGUAUCGUAAACCGUCUGU